rfam:Salmo salar isolate Sally breed double haploid chromosome ssa12, whole genome shotgun sequence.
UGGCUCAGUUGGUAGAGCAUGGUGUUUGCAACGCCAGGGUUGUGGGUUCGAUUCCCAU